rnacentral:rRNA from 1 species
UACGUAGGGGGCAAGCGUUGUCCGGAAUCAUUGGGCGUAAAGCGCGUGUAGGCGGUUCGGUAAGUCGGCUGUGAAAGUCCAGGGCUCAACCCUGGGAUGCCGGUCGAUACUGCCGGACUAGAGUUCGGAAGAGGCGAGUGGAAUUCCCCGGUGUAGCGGUGAAAUGCGCAGAUAUCGGGAGGAACACCAAUGGCGAAGGCAGCUCGCUGGGACGUUUACUGACGCUGAGACGCGAAAAGCGUGGGGGAGCAAAACAGGGAUUAGAAAACCCCU